CUCAUUUUCGGUCGAUGGAACUUUUCAAGCGACUUGAACUGUUACUUCCAUUACAAGACUUUCUCACGAAGAAGCAGGUUUGCAGGCUCUUGUAGCUUCUACCAGAUGGCAGGAGGGUGAAAAGAGAUCCACUUGGCCUUUCUCCUGCAGCACUGGCUGUAAAAGUGCUGGAUAGUUGGUCCUGCAGCACUGGCUGUAAAGGUGCUGGAUAAUUGGUAACUCAGUCCUGCGCUGACCUGACCUGACCACUCUCUCACAGCUUUUAUGUGACAGUAAGCAUUGUGACCGAUACACGUCCAGCCUGUGCCCAACCAGCAGAGCAUACAGUUGUGCAAGUGAUCUUCUUUAUCUACAGACACCACAAGAGGAUGAGUGCAGAACAGCCGGAGGAAGUGAGUACAGUAAAUGAGGAUGGACGUGCGGACAUUUAAGUACUUUCUUUCAGGUACUCUCUCCUCAGACAGCACUGAAUGUUUCUCCUUGUAUUACAGUAUUUGUCCUUUCCUCAGGCAGCACUGAAUGUUUCAUAGCUCCUUGUAUUACAGUAUUUUUCUAACUUGUAUAGCACUGUGGCCAAAAAGCUGUAACAUCUAAUAAAGUUGAAUGUAAAUAUCUGUAAUCUGUGACUGUUUCCUGCCAAAUAAUAAAAAU